rnacentral:rRNA from 1 species
CCGCCCGCCGGCGCCCGCGCCCGUCCCGCCGCCCCCGCCCGCCUACGGGAGGCAGCAGUGGGGAAUUUUGGACAAUGGGCGCAAGCCUGAUCCAGCCAUGCCGCGUGAGUGAAGAAGGCCUUCGGGUUGUAAAGCUCUUUCAGACGGAAAGAAAACUUCUGGGUUAAUACCCUGGGAGGAUGACGGUACCGUAAGAAGAAGCACCGGCUAACUACGUGCCAGCAGCCGCGGUAAUACGUAGGGUGCGAGCGUUAAUCGGAAUUACUGGGCGUAAAGCGUGCGCAGGCGGUGAUGUAAGACAGAUGUGAAAUCCCCGGGCUCAACCUGGGAACUGCGUUUGUGACUGCAUCACUCGAGUACGGCAGAGGGAGGUGGAAUUCCGCGUGUAGCAGUGAAAUGCGUAGAGAUGCGGAGGAACACCGAUGGCGAAGGCAGCCUCCUGGGCCAGUACUGACGCUCAUGCACGAAAGCGUGGGGAGCAAACAGGAUUAGAUACCCUGGUAGUCCACGCCCUAAACGAUGUCAACUAGUUGUUCGGUGAGGAGACUCAUUGAGUAACGCAGCUAACGCGUGAAGUUGACCGCCUGGGGAGUACGGCCGCAAGGUUAAAACUCAAAGGAAUUGACGG